UUUGAGAUGAAAGUCUGGUGUCAGAUUC
rnacentral:piRNA from 1 species